UACGAAGGGGGCUAGCGUUGCUCGGAAUUACUGGGCGUAAAGGGCGCGUAGGCGGCACAUUUAGUCAGGCGUGAAAUUCCUGGGCUUAACCUGGGAACUGCGCUUGAGACGGGUGUGCUAGAGGACGGAAGAGGCUCGCGGAAUUCCCAGUGUAGAGGUGAAAUUCGUAGAUAUGGGAAGAACACCAGUGGCGAAGGCGGCUGACUGGACAUGUAUUGACG
rnacentral:rRNA from 1 species